GGGGGUUUCCCCGUUUUCCUUCUGGUGCUCCGCUGCUUCCACAGACGGACAACUCCCAUGCGCCAUGGCAGAUGACUCCCUGUGAAGUUAAGGUGGCUUAAAUUUCUGUCCUGUCACUUUGUGGCCGAGGACUAACGUUACGAGAAUUAAAGGACAGAGGCUGUGAACGGUUAAGUUUCCAAUGUGUAGCCCUCAGGGGGAGCCCGGCUCCAGUAAGCACAUGGUCUCCACAGGGCGCUUGGAUGCUAUGUUUGGGUGGGAAAAUGUUACUAGAAUAGAUGUAGACUUGUUAAAGCAGCCACGUGAUGUGAACUGCUGGCAUUUCUGCUGCUGCUGCCAGAAGGAAAAUUCAAAGCAUGCCUCUGCCAUUAUUUAUGCUUUCUAAAAAUACCCCAGAUGAUCAGUGCAUGCCCUAACAAUGCCCAACAGAACUGAAGGAUUCACAGAAAAAAAUGCAAGAAGCUGUUUAGAUGCAGGAAAAGAGAAAUCCCCCUCGCGCACAUGACAGGAGGUCAUACUUCUUGCAGGUCACGCUGCUCCUCGUCUUGUUUCCAGGCUGUCUCCAAUGCAGCUGCCAGCCUCACGGUACUUAGCAAUUGCGGUAUGAACACGCAGCAGGAUCAUUUACAAAGAGGAAGCCAAGGUUUUAAGAGCAUGCUGCUGUUUUCCAAAGUGUUUGUGCGCACCCAGUCCAUUUUAUUCAGAGCACUGGCUGGUCCAGCCUUGCAGGUGCUGGUUCGUGGCCCCCGCAAUGCCACUCUCUUACACAUUUCAAAAAGUAGUGGUACCUGUAGUUACAGUUCACAGAGCAGACAAACCUUGCAGAAUCCAGUGAAGUGUGGUGGAGGCACCUUUGCUGUCGGUAAUGGUUUGGGUUGGGUUUUUUUCCUAGAUAUUCACAGUAUUUAGCUACCCAAUUAAGUCUGGGGCAGUCCCAGGUGUAAAAAGCUGCAAAUUACAGGGGCUUAGUGAACUGAAAAACAAAAUGACAGCACAGCUUGUAUUCUUCCAAGGCUAAGCAUCAGCAGCAAAGUUUUAUAGGACUGGAUUUCUGAACCUCAUUUCUACUGAAAUUUCAUAUAGACAUCUCUUCACACAACAAGGACUACAGCUAAGAAGUCAACAUGAAGCAAGUCUCUAAAAUGAUCAGGAAUAUUUUUCAUAUGAUUUUUCUUCACUGAAGUAAAUCCGAGCACUUGAAACUCAUCUUUGGAUAAACUGGAAUGAACCUGAUUCCCUUGAUAUGGGAUGGAAAGUCAAAGAAAAUGGAAAGACUGUUUCAUAGCAUCUACAUCUUCCUGCAAGAAUAGAGUACUACAGGGAAAACAAAUAAAGCCCUAAGCUUAAGAUCAAAGGGGAUACCAAAAUGAGAAAGGAUGCUGAAGCUACAUAAUAAGGAAGAAUCAACAACCCUUUGACAAGAGCAGUUCGUUUUCCCUGAAGGAUCUCUUGAGCAGGCAAUAGAAAGUCAACAAAUAUUUUUGUUACAAUGAGUAUCAUAGUAGAAUACAGGAGCUCACCUAAUUAAGAAA